CGCGGGCGGCGCUCUAGACUAGCGGAUCCCCGGGCUGAGACAAUGUGGAAUUCGCCCUUUUUACAGAAAACUGCUGGACGUAGUUAGCCGGCGCUUAUUCUAAAGGAACACUCACCCGAAGGCUUGCUCCCAAACAAAAGAGGUUUACAACCCGAAGGCCUCCAUCCCUCACGCGGCGUCGCUGCAUCAGGCUU
rnacentral:rRNA from 1 species